CAUUACCGAGUUUACAACUCCCAAACCCAAUGUGAACGUUACCAAACUGUUGCCUCGGCGGGAUCUCUGCCCCGGGUGCGUCGCAGCCCCGGACCAAGGCGCCCGCCGGAGGACCAACCAAAACUCUUAUUGUAUACCCCCUCGCGGGUUUUUUUAUAAUCUGAGCCUUCUCGGCGCCUCUCGUAGGCGUUUCGAAAAUGAAUCAAAACUUUCAACAACGGAUCUCUUGGUUCUGGCAUCGAUGAAGAACGCAGCGAAAUGCGAUAAGUAAUGUGAAUUGCAGAAUUCAGUGAAUCAUCGAAUCUUUGAACGCACAUUGCGCCCGCCAGUAUUCUGGCGGGCAUGCCUGUCCGAGCGUCAUUUCAACCCUCGAACCCCUCCGGGGGGUCGGCGUUGGGGAUCGGCCCUGCCUUGGCGGUGGCCGUCUCCGAAAUACAGUGGCGGUCUCGCCGCAGCCUCUCCUGCGCAGUAGUUUGCACACUCGCAUCGGGAGCGCGGCGCGUCCACAGCCGUUAAACACCCAACUUCUGAAAUGUUGACCUCGGAUCAGGUA
rnacentral:sRNA from 1 species